rnacentral:snoRNA from 1 species
GUACGAUGAUGGUUGCAUAGUUCAGCAGAUAUUCUUUGACGAAAAAGUUAUUAGCUGAGUUACCU